rnacentral:rRNA from 1 species
AAAGCACCCCGGAAGGGGAGUGAAAGAGAUCCUGAAACCGUGUGCCUACAAAUAGUCAGAGCCCGUUAACGGGUGAUGGCGUGCCUUUUGUAGAAUGAACCGGCGAGUUACGAUCCCGUGCGAGGUUAAGCUGAAGAGGCGGAGCCGCAGCGAAAGCGAGUCUGAAUAGGGCGUUUAGUACGUGGUCGUAGACCCGAAACCAGGUGAUCUACCCAUGUCCAGGGUGAAGUUCAGGUAACACUGAAUGGAGGCCCGAACCCACGCACGUUGAAAAGUGCGGGGAUGAGGUGUGGGUAGCGGAGAAAUUCCAAUCGAACCUGGAGAUAGCUGGUUCUCCCCGAAAUAGCUUUAGGGCUAGCCUUAAGUGUAAGAGUCUUGGAGGUAGAGCACUGAUUGGACUAGGGGUCCUCAUCGGAUUACCGAAUUCAGUCAAACUCCGAAUGCCAAUGACUUAUCCUUAGGAGUCAGACUGCGAGUGAUAAGAUCCGUAGUCAAAAGGGAAACAGCCCAGACCGCCAGCUAAGGUCCCAAAG